GUCACUAUGUCCGAGUGGUUAAGGAGUGUGACUUGAAAUCACAUACGUUUACGUGCGCAGGUUCAAACCCUGCUGGUGACG